AAUUUGAAAUCUGGCCCCUUCGGGGUCCGAGUUGUAAUUUGUAGAGAGUGCUUCGGGGGAGACCGCGGUCUAAGUCCAUUGGAACAUGGCGUCCCAGAGGGUGAGAAUCCCGUAUGUGACCGUGGCUCGAACCCAUGUGAAGCCUCUUCGACGAGUCGAGUUGUUUGGGAAUGCAGCUCAAAAUGGGUGGUAAAUUUCAUCUAAAGCUAAAUACGGGCUGGAGACCGAUAGCGCACAAGUAGAGUGAUCGAAAGAUGAAAAGCACUUUGGAAAGAGAGUCAAAAAGUACGUGAAAUUGUUGAAAGGGAAGCGCUGGCAACCAGACCUGCCCGUAGGCGAUCAGCCGCUGUUCUCAGCGGUGCACUCGCUCUGCGAUCAGGCCAGCAUCGGUUCCGGCGGUCGGAUAAAGGCCUUGGGAACGUACCUUCCCUUCGGGGGAGUCUUAUAGCCCUCGGUGCAAUGCGGCCAGCCGGGACCGAGGACCGCGCUUCGGCUAGGAUGCUGGCGUAAUGGUUGUC
rnacentral:rRNA from 1 species